rnacentral:rRNA from 1 species
AUCUAAGUCUGGAUCGGAUAAGUACUGAAAGCAUCUAAGUACGAAGCCGGCCACAAGAUUAGAUUUCUUUAGGGUCGUCAAAGACUAUGACGUUGAUAGGAUGCAGGUGUAAAGCUGGAGACAGCAAAGCCGAGCAUUACUAAUUGCCCGUCAACUUUUGUUG